rnacentral:lncRNA from 1 species
GAUGAAUCCCCUCUAUUAAACUCAACAAUAAUAACAACUAUUAGAAACCAGUAGUAACAAGUUCAAACUAGGAGAAUUUUAUCUAUCAAUUUACUCCAAAAACUUCACAAAAGCUGCAAACGUCAACAAGACAAGCUUCAAAACUCCAUUGUCUUAUCACAAAGAUAAUUGAUAUUUAAUGCAGGAUUUUCUUUCAAACAUUGGCCCACAAAAAAUUCAUAGAUUGAAUUAAAAUUACCAAACGAUACACCAACAAACAAAGACUUAUCUCAACAGAACUUUCACCAGCAUAAAAGAAGUUUGACAAGAGAAUUCAAACUUGAACUCUAAGAAUUUAAAUAGUGGAGUCCAUUGACACAACUCAAUUCACACAAUUUCCAACAAGCAACUUCUGAAUUUUAAAACUAAACUAUGUGGCUAAUAGCAGCUAGAAAAGCAAAAUUUGGCUAUGACCCCGCAAAGCCAAGAAUCUAAGAUUUACAAGGAAAACCGAACCCUAUGUGGGUUGCUUACGUAUCACGCCUCGAAAGACGAGAAUCAGGUUUGCGUAAUUCAGGAAAAUUGGAUACGGGCGAUAAAUAAUGAAAAAACAGCUAAUUUUUUAAAGAAAACAUUUUCUUUUGUCUCUUUUUUUUAAAAAAAAAAGAUGAAACAUGUAAAUGCUCUUGGAUUCUUUUUCCUUUUUCCUUUUUUUUUUGAUUUUCAGGAAAUUAUAAUAAAAGGUGAGAAAUAUUUUUUUUAAAUUAUUCACAUAUCCUUUGUCUCUUUUUUUAAUAGAAAUAUAACAAAAAUAUAACUAAAUCCUAUUUGCUUUACUUUCGCACUUCACCCUCUCUUUUCUUUUUCUUGUUUUUCUCUUUUUUUAUUUUUUCAUUUACCCUCAGCUAUCAUUGGUCCGCCAAAUGACCCUUUUACCCUUGGAGAAAUGCAACAUAUAUCAUAUUAGGAUGCAUCAGGAUGGUCUGUUAUUUUGGGUACAUCUAUCCUAGACGGACCCAACCCUUGUGUAGAGAGCCCUAAGUCAAAUGCAUGAUGCAGAUAAGCGUUCCUACUAGGGAUCCAUCAUGAGGUUUUGCUACACUAAGUUCAGCACCUGGGUAUUUGUUUUAGACUGUGUACCCGAGCGGAAAACUUGAGUCGAGGAGGGGAAUAAAUGUUCUUACUAGGGCUCCGGCAUGAGGUUAAGUUAUUCUAAGUUAGAACCUUGGUAUAGGGUCUAGACUUUGUACCCGAGCGGACAACUCGAGUCGAGGAGGGGGCUACGUACUGGGGACCCGCAAGAUCAUCCGGCUUUGUAACUUGUCCGAGCCUCUUUCUUAUUUUAAGGUAUGACACUAAUAGACUAGGAAGUCUCGACCAGUGAGAACAUCCCCGAAGAUAGAGAGAGAAGGGUUUCAUAGCAGUUUAUAUACAGUUCAACUAAUAACAAAGCGGUAAAGGCAUCAUUUGCACAUUAAGUCAACAUGUAAAAUCACAUAAUGAACAAAGCAAAAUACAACAAUUAUUCUAAGCUCGAAUUCUUAAACCAUGAACCAGAUAUUCUGGGUUAGAGCAAAUGUCUCCCCAUCAGAAUCGGCACAGCUGUCACACCUCCUUUUGGCUAUCCACAACCCGGUGAAGGGCGUAGAUAGAGGGAGUUUUUCAAAUUUAAGGACAAUUGAAACAGGAUUCAAUUAUUUAAGAGAAUUUCAGAGUCGCCACUUGGGAGAUUUAUGGUGUCCCAAGUCACCGCUUAGAAUCCCGAAUCGAGGAAAGAAUUACUCUGUUUAACAGUCCGCGAACCAUAAAUCCGAGUAAGGAAUUCUGUUAACCCGGGAAAAGGUGUUGGGCAUUCCCGAGUUCCGUGGUUCUAGCACGGUCACUCAACUGUUAUAUUUUGCUUAAAUUAUUUGAUUUUAUACAUGUUUUAACUUAUGUGCUUCUUAACUUUUUAACCACUUUUAUUAUUAUUAUUAUUAUUAUUAUUAUUAUUAUUAUUAUUAUUAUUAUUANNNNNNNNNNNNNNNNNNNNNNNNNNNNNNNNNNNNNNNNNNNNAUGUUUUAACUUAUGUGCUUUUUAACCUGAAACCGCUUUUAUUAUUAUUUUUCUUUUUAAAAAGGAUUGCAACGACGUUAAAACAUGCCUUGAACCACGUCACAUAAAUGCACCCGUGGUUUUUAACACAUUUUGAAUUGGGAUCCGGAUUUGGGUCACAUAAAUGUGCACCCAAAUUAGGAAAGUAAUGUUAUUAAACACGCGUCUAAAGCAACUACGCGUUGACACUUUGCGAGGGCCAUGGAAUUCGCUAAAUGGCACGCAUCGGAAUCUAAGGAUAAACAAAAAUAAUUUAAACGAGGACCAUGCAUUUGAGAUUUUUCGACACGACACACCUCCAUUUAUUCAAGUCCAAGCUAACAUAAUUAAAUAGGUUCAUACCAAUAUAAUUAAUCCAAUAUCCCUUUUGAUAUGAUUUAACACAUAUUGAUUCAAACGAAUUCAAACAACCUAAUUCAUUCUAUUGAGUGUGCAGGAUAAACAAUAAGACAAAACUUUUCUCAGCUUGCCCGUGAUCUAGGGAAUGCUGGCUUUCUAAUAGCUUUACAACAACUAAAUCAACAAGAUUCUUUUCCUUCCUACUCAAAUUUGAACAUGCCAAUGAAAGUUUGAGAAUUGGUGACAAAUCAGCUCAAAAUAGAACAGAAAUCCAUCGUGUUCAUCAAUGAGCAUUUGUGCACAUUAUUACAUGAACAUUUCAGUAACUUCCCAUUGAAUCAUGUAAACGCAUUUAGCGAAGCAACAACAACUCAUGAGCUCAACAACGGUAAAACACAAACCUAAAAGGAUCCAGAUUCAAUCCGGAAUCACAAGAGUCCUCCUUGAACACACAAUACAUGGAUCAAAAACCAAGUUCUAAUCCAAAUAGCCGAGGCGAUAACAUAUAAGGCGAAUAGACCAACUAAUUCAAGCAACUUCCAUUUUACUUGUAUUCACAAAUAAUUCAAGUUCUAAUCCAAAUAGCUGAGGCGAUAAAAUAUAAAGCAAACAGACCAACUAAUUCAAACAACUUCAAUUUUACUUGUAUUCACAAAUAAUUAAAGACUACAUUAAGAGGAAAGAAGAACUGAACCUUCAAUGGUCUUUAAUUAACAAAGAUUACAGCAAAUACACGGAUGAAAGAAAAUACACUCUCAUUCAUUCAAGCAGCAAGGUUGUUUUCCAAAACUAAUGUUUCCUCAAUACAAGCAGUAAGUCGUUUUACCACUAACAUCUACAUCGACAAGUGAGUUAGGACAGCUUCAAACUCGACUCAAUUGAAAUUCAACCAAGAAAACCAAUCAAACAUACGGUAUAUUCAUGUGAGGCUCGACGGAUUCGAACACUAACUCAGUCAUCACAAAAUCACAUCACAACCCCAAUAUCUCCAAGCAAAACAAAUUCGAAAUCACAGACCUUAGCCAUGGAAGUAAAACAGAGUACAGGUAACGGAAAUUUAACGAAAUUAAAUAAUAAAGGAAAAAUAGAAUAUGAACCUGAAAAUCAAGCUUCCAAUUUAGCGGAAGUGUUCAGCAAUUACACAAGACGCAUAAGCCAGCAAAAGAUUAGCUCAGGCGGAAGCGAACAGAUUUGGAAACAAAUAGAGAACGAUGAGUGAAACCUCAAUGACGACCUCAGCGGCUCGUCGACUGGAAAACUCUCAUGUAAUAUCACUGUUUCUGUUGUAUUCCCAGUUAGUUGUACGUGUCUGUGUGUGUGUUUACCAGUGCUGUCGUGAAUGGAAAAAAUGGAAGAAACAGCAGGGGUCGUUUGGGACCGUCGAACGUUACAGAACCAGGGGGUUUGAAGAAGACGGGAAAGGGGGCUCAGGUCGUUUCUCUGGUGUUGGCGUCGCUGGUCCUGUGAGCUUGUGAAGGUGGGAUCGUAUAUAUGUGUGUGACGAAGAAGAUGAUCGAGAGAGGGUGGUUGUCUUCAAAAGAUGCGCCGCUUUUCUGUUGUGUAUCAGCAUGUAUUGUAUGUAUUGUAUUGUGUAGGUGUGCUUUUUUUUUUGUGAAGCAGCCGUCAGCCCUUUUC